UAGGGAAGAGUUCUAGGUCUGUUCUGAAGAGGUUUACCGACUGUCCCCCCACCUUCUCUGACUUUGAUUUGCCUCCCCGGGUAGCAAGGUCUGAGUUUCAGGUCGUGUGGUCCUUUAGGCUGGAAUGGGGGCCCACCCUUGACAUAAUUCUGCUGACUCCAGAGUUGCUUCGUUGAGUGCCAGCCUGUUAACCCUCUGGAGGGGAUGGAGUGUGAUGGGAGUAAGGUGGGCCUAAAUCCAAUGAUGUCUUUAUAAGCGAGAGAGAAGAGAAAGAAGCCAUGUGAAGACAAGAGGCAGAGAUAGAAGUGAUUUUUCUGUAAGCCCAGGAAUGUCUGGGGCCACCAGAAGCUGGAAGAAGCAAGGACGGUUCUGCCCUAGAAUUUGCCUAGGAGGCACGGCCCAGCUGGCACCUUUCGGCUUUUGGUCUCCAAAACUGUGAGAAAAUACAUUUCUAUUGUUUUCAAGCCACAUAGUUUGUGGUGAUUUGUUAUGGCAAUUUGUGGAAACUAGUACAGUCACCUAAUAAGAUUUGAUAAUGAAGAUGAAAAAGCUGGAAAUGGAGAAGUAAAAGGAAUAAUUACUUAUUUUGUUAUACAAUACUAAUAAAA